UCACGAUCUCGCGGCUUUCAAGCACAGACCAAAACAAAAACGGCGGCAAAGGCGGGCUAUUUAGAGCCUGCGACUGCUGUGAAUGAUUGGCAGGCAGCCGUACAAGAAGGCGGGCAAUUGGCUCUGAACGACAGAAUCGGGAGCUUCGUGAUUGGCCACAUCAGGGAGGCCUGGAAGCCACUGAGAACCGUUUACUACUUUGUUUAUUCAUUCAGUAAGUGCCUCUUAACCACACGCCAUAAAGAAGGUACUGCGCCAAUUUGAUUCGAUAUUUAAAUUUUUCAAUUUCACCAA